GAUGAACGCUGGCGGCGUGCUUAACACAUGCAAGUCGAACGAAGCACUACCGACGGAACUUUUCGGAGGGAAGAUGGUAAUGACUGAGUGGCGGACGGGUGAGUAACGCGUGGGCAACCUGCCCCAUAGAGGGGGACAACAGCUGAAAACGGCUGCUAAUACCGCAUAACAAGGAGAGAGCGCAUGUUCUUUUCUUCAAAGAUUUAUCGCUAUGGGAUGGACCCGCGUCUGAUUAGCUGGUUGGUGAGGUAACGGCUCACCAAGGCGACGAUCAGUAGCCGGCUUGAGAGAGUGGACGGCCACAUUGGGACUGAGACACGGCCCAGACUCCUACGGGAGGCAGCAGUGGGGAAUAUUGCACAAUGGGGGAAACCCUGAUGCAGCGACGCCGCGUGAGUGAAGAAGUAUUUCGGUAUGUAAAGCUCUAUCAGCAGGGAAGAUAAUGACGGUACCUGACUAAGAAGCCCCGGCUAACUACGUGCCAGCAGCCGCGGUAAUACGUAGGGGGCAAGCGUUAUCCGGAUUUACUGGGUGUAAAGGGAACGUAGGUGGCAGGGCAAGUCAGAUGUGAAAACCCGGGGCUCAACCCCGGGAGUGCAUUUGAAACUGUCCAGCUGGAGUGCGGGAGAGGUAAGCGGAAUUCCUAGUGUAGCGGUGAAAUGCAUAGAUAUUAGGAGGAACACCAGUGGCGAAGGCGGCUUACUGGACUGUAACUGACACUGAGGCUCGAAAGCGUGGGGAGCAAACAGGAUUAGAUACCCUGGUAGUCCAUGCCGUAAACGAUGAGUGCUAGGUGUUGGAGGGUUUCCGCCCUUCAGUGCCGGAGCUAACGCAUUAAGCACUCCGCCUGGGGAGUACGACCGCAAGGUUGAAACUCAAAGGAAUUGACGGGGGCCCGCACAAGCGGUGGAGCAUGUGGUUUAAUUCGAAGCUACGCGAAGAACCUUACCAGGUCUUGACAUCUUGCGCUAACCUUAGAGAUAAGGCGUUCCCUUCGGGGACGCAAUGACAGGUGGUGCAUGGUCGUCGUCAGCUCGUGUCGUGAGAUGUUGGGUUAAGUCCCGCAACGAGCGCAACCCUUGUUACUAGUUGCCAGCAUUAAGUUGGGCACUCUAGUGAGACUGCCGGUGACAAACCGGAGGAAGGUGGGGAUGACGUCAAAUCAUCAUGCCCCUUAUGACUUGGGCUACACACGUGCUACAAUGGUGGUAACAAAGUGAAGCGACCCCGUGAGGGUGAGCCAACCACAGAAAAGCCAUCUCAGUUCGGAUUGUAGUCUGCAACCCGACUACAUGAAGCUGGAAUCGCUAGUAAUCGCAGAUCAGAAUGCUGCGGUGAAUACAUUCCCGGGUCUUGCACUCACCGCCCGUCA
rnacentral:rRNA from 1 species